rnacentral:rRNA from 1 species
GCGGCGUGCUUAACACAUGCAAGUCGAACGAUGAAGCCCAGCUUGCUGGGUGGAUUAGUGGCGAACGGGUGAGUAACACGUGAGCAACCUGCCCCUGACUCUGGGAUAAGCGCUGGAAACGGCGUCUAAUACUGGAUAUGUCCCGUCACCGCAUGGUGUGCGGGUGGAAAGAUUUUUCGGUUGGGGAUGGGCUCGCGGCCUAUCAGCUUGUUGGUGAGGUAAUGGCUCACCAAGGCGUCGACGGGUAGCCGGCCUGAGAGGGUGACCGGCCACACUGGGACUGAGACACGGCCCAGACUCCUACGGGAGGCAGCAGUGGGGAAUAUUGCACAAUGGGCGGAAGCCUGAUGCAGCAACGCCGCGUGAGGGAUGACGGCCUUCGGGUUGUAAACCUCUUUUAGCAGGGAAGAAGCGAAAGUGACGGUACCUGCAGAAAAAGCACCGGCUAACUACGUGCCAGCAGCCGCGGUAAUACGUAGGGUGCAAGCGUUAUCCGGAAUUAUUGGGCGUAAAGAGCUCGUAGGCGGUCUGUCGCGUCUGCUGUGAAAUUCCGAGGCUCAACCUCGGGCUUGCAGUGGGUACGGGCAGACUAGAGUGCGGUAGGGGAGAUUGGAAUUCCUGGUGUAGCGGUGGAAUGCGCAGAUAUCAGGAGGAACACCGAUGGCGAAGGCAGAUCUCUGGGCCGUAACUGACGCUGAGGAGCGAAAGGGUGGGGAGCAAACAGGCUUAGAUACCCUGGUAGUCCACCCCGUAAACGUUGGGAACUAGUUGUGGGGUCCUUUCCACGGAUUCCGUGACGCAGCUAACGCAUUAAGUUCCCCGCCUGGGGAGUACGGCCGCAAGGCUAAAACUCAAAGGAAUUGACGGGGACCCGCACAAGCGGCGGAGCAUGCGGAUUAAUUCGAUGCAACGCGAAGAACCUUACCAAGGCUUGACAUACACGAGAACGGGCCAGAAAUGGUCAACUC